rnacentral:rRNA from 1 species
GAUGAACGCUGGCGGCGUGCCUAAUACAUGCAAGUCGAGCGAACAGACGAGGAGCUUGCUCCUCUGACGUUAGCGGCGGACGGGUGAGUAACACGUGGAUAACCUACCUAUAAGACUGGGAUAACUUCGGGAAACCGGAGCUAAUACCGGAUAAUAUAUUGAACCGCAUGGUUCAAUAGUGAAAGACGGUUUUGCUGUCACUUAUAGAUGGAUCCGCGCCGCAUUAGCUAGUUGGUAAGGUAACGGCUUACCAAGGCAACGAUGCGUAGCCGACCUGAGAGGGGGGUCGGCCCAACUGGAACUGAGACAAGGUCCAGACUCCUAAGGGAGGCAGCAGUAGGGAAUCUUCCGCAAUGGGCGAAAGCCUGACGGAGCAACGCCGCGUGAGUGAUGAAGGUCUUCGGAUCGUAAAACUCUGUUAUUAGGGAAGAACAAAUGUGUAAGUAACUAUGCACGUCUUGACGGUACCUAAUCAGAAAGCCACGGCUAACUACGUG